UGUGAAAGGGGAUAAUAUUAUGCUGUAUCGACCGUAGUUUUGUCGGUUUGGUCAGUCAAGGACUAUGGUUGACUGGUUGUUACAAGGCGUCAAGAGCUGAACGUGCAGGGAAGGAGGAAAAGCCAAAGGAAAGGGAGGUUAUUUAAUUGGAUGGUUCAAAUGCCAUGAGCGCUUCAAUUUCAAAACCAUGUCCCCAAGAUGCAAUUCAGCAUAAGGAAAUUUACAUUCAAGCAAAGCAAGUAUUGGGAAGCAGUCAAGACUAGUAACUUACAAGAAGUCUAUCGGCUUAUUGUGAUAUCAGAUAUGAAUAUUGUCGACACCACGUAUGAUGAUGUGGUUGGAGAUGACUUAUAUCACCAUGUUGAUGCACA